UACGUAGGGUGCAAGCGUUAAUCGGAAUUACUGGGCGUAAAGCGCACGUAGGUGGCUUGGCAAGUCGGGUGUGAAAUCCCCGGGCUCAACCUGGGAACUGCAUUCGAGACUGCCUUGCUAGAGUAUGGGAGAGGGAAGUGGAAUUUCCGGUGUAGCGGUGAAAUGCGUAGAUAUCGGAAGGAACAUCAGUGGCGAAGGCGACUUCCUGGACCAAUACUGACACUCAGGUGCGAAAGCGUGGGGAGCAAACAGG
rnacentral:rRNA from 1 species